UACGUAGGGGGCUAGCGUUGUCCGGAUUUAUUGGGCGUAAAGAGCGUGUAGGCGGCCAGAUAGGUCUGCUGUGAAAACUCGAGGCUCAACCUCGAGCUGUCGGCGGAAACCAUCUGGCUAGAGUCCGGAAGAGGAGAGUGGAAUUCCUGGUGUAGCGGUGAAAUGCGCAGAUAUCAGGAAGAACACCCGUGGCGAAGGCGGCUCUCUGGUACGUGACUGACGCUGAGACGCGAAAGCGUGGGGAGCGAACAGG
rnacentral:rRNA from 1 species